rnacentral:tRNA from 1 species
GCGGGUAUAGCUCAGCGAAAGAGCAGCCGGCUUUUAACCGGCAGGCCGGGAUUUCGAAAUUCCCUGCCCGCA